rnacentral:rRNA from 1 species
CCCUUGAAAUACCACCCUGUUGUUAUUGAGGUUCUAACUUGGUCCAGUAAUCCUGGAUGAGGACAGUGUAUGAUGGGUAGUUUGACUGGGGCGGUCUCCUCCCAAAGAGUAACGGAGGAGCACAAAGGUACCCUCGGUACGGUCGGACAUCGUACCAAGAGUGUAAAGGCAAAAGGGUGCUUGACUGCGAGAGUGACGGCUCGAGCAGGAACGAAAGUUGGUCUUAGUGAUCCGGUGGUUCUGAAUGGAAGGGCCAUCGCUCAACGGAUAAAAGGUACUCCGGGGAUAACAGGCUGAUACCGCCCAAGAGUUCAUAUCGACGGCGGUGUUUGGCACCUCGAUGUCGGCUCAUCACAUCCUGGGGCUGAAGCAGGUCCCAAGGGUAUGGCUGUUCGCCAUUUAAAGUGGUACGCGAGCUGGGUUUAGAACGUCGUGAGACAGUUCGGUCCCUAUCUGCCGUGGGCGUAGGAAAAUUGAGAGGAGCUGCUCCUAGUACGAGAGGACCGGAGUGGACGAACCUCUGGUGCACCGGUUGUCACGCCAGUGGCAUGGCCGGGUAGCUAAGUUCGGACGGGAUAACCGCUGAAAGCAUCUAAGCGGGAAGCCUCCCUCAAGAUGAGUUUUCCCAUGAAGCCCGUUGAAGACUACGACGUUGAUAGGCAAGGUGUGGAAGCGCAGUAAUGCGUGAAGCUAACUUGUACUAAUUGGCUGAUUG